AUGUGAACAAAACCCAUUGCUUUUAAUCUUUUGGAGUUUAAGGGUCCCGAAAAAAAAAGAACCCAGAGGUCCACAUUUGUCAUCUACCUUGAUGGAUUUUCCAAUACUUUUAGUUCCAGUGUAUUGCAUGCAAAUGUCCCUUAAUUCGCGGCUUUUAAUGAUAACACGACAUACGAUUUUGAUCAAAGUGUUGAAGAGUCCAUUAAACUAGUGGCAAGUAUAUAUAUAGGUCACUUGACUAUGUAUGAGUCACUCAUGAACACUCAAGUUUUUUUCUGAUUAAAUGUAUUCCUUGUUUUUAAAAUUUGAUGAUGGGCAAUUGUUUGCAAUAAAUAAAAAGAUAUUUGAAAUAAACAAUUUCAAACAUGGC
rnacentral:misc_RNA from 1 species